AUUGAUGUGAAUACCACGACACAUGAACAAGAUACAGACAUACAAGGGCUACAGUCAGACACGACAACAUUAAGGAAUGACGUGAAUCAGCAAAAUUCAGAUUUACAAAAGCUGACGGUCACUGUGAAAGUUUUGAAUGCCACACAAAUUGACCAAGAAACUAACAUACAGG